rnacentral:rRNA from 1 species
AUGGGGGAAACCCUGACGCAGCGACGCCGCGUGAAGGAAGAAGGUCUUCGGAUCGUAAACUUCUUUGAUUAGGGAAGAAACAUGACAGUACCUAAAGAACAAGCCACGGCUAACUACGUGCCAGCAGCCGCGGUAAUACGUAGGUGGCGAGCGUUGUCCGGAAUUACUGGGUGUAAAGGGCGUGUAGGCGGGUAAGCAAGUCAGAUGUGAAAUACCGGGGCUCAACCUCGGGGCUGCAUUUGAAACUGUUUAUCUUGAGUGCAGGAGAGGGAAGCGGAAUUCCUAGUGUAGCGGUGAAAUGCGUAGAUAUUAGGAGGAACACCAGUGGCGAAGGCGGCUUCCUGGACUGUAACUGACGCUGAGGCGCGAAAGCGUGGGUAGCGAACAGGAUUAGAUACCCUGGUAGUCCACGCCGUAAACGAUGGAUACUAGGUGUAGGAGGUAUCGACCCCUUCUGUGCCGGAGUUAACACAAUAAGUAUCCCACCUGGGGAGUACGG